GAUGAAGAACGUAGCGAAAUGCGAUACUUGGUGUGAAUUGCAGAAUCCCGCGAAUCAUCGAGUUUUUGAACGCAAGUUGCGCCCGAAGCCAUUCGGCCGAGGGCACGUCUGCCUGGGUGUCACGCAUCGUUGCCCCCCCAAACUCCGGUUCGGGCGGGGCGGAAGUUGGCCUCCCGUGCGUGCCUGCGCGCGCGGUUAGCCCAAAAGCGAGUCCUCGGCGAUGAGCGCCACGACAAUCGGUGGUUUUUUUACCCUCGUUCCUCGUCGUGCGUGCCCCGUCGCCCGAACGCGCUCUUGCAACCCUUACGCGUCGCCUCGGUGGCGCUCCCAACGCGACCCCAGGUCAGGCGGGGUUACCCGCUGAAUUUAAGCAUAUCAAUAAGCGGAGGA
rnacentral:misc_RNA from 1 species